UGGGGAAUAUUGCACAAUGGGCGCAAGCCUGAUGCAGCCAUGCCGCGUGUAUGAAGAAGGCCUUCGGGUUGUAAAGUACUUUCAGCGGGGAGGAAGGGAGUAAAGUUAAUACCUUUGCUCAUUGACGUUACCCGCAGAAGAAGCACCGGCUAACUCCGUGCCAGCAGCCGCGGUAAUACGGAGGGUGCAAGCGUUAAUCGGAAUUACUGGGCGUAAAGCGAACGCAGGCGGUUUGUUAAGUCAGAUGUGAAAUCCCCGGGCUCAACCUUGGAACUGCAUCUGAUACUGGCAAGCUGGAGUCUCGUAGAGGGGGGUAGAAUUCCAGGUGUAGCGGUGAAAUGCGUAGAGAUCUGGAGGAAUACCGGUGGCGAAGGCGGCCCCCUGGACGAAGACUGACGCUCAGGUGCGAAAGCGUGGGGAGCAAACAGG
rnacentral:rRNA from 1 species